rnacentral:rRNA from 1 species
UACGGAGGAUCCGAGCGUUAUCCGGAUUUAUUGGGUUUAAAGGGUGCGCAGGCGGGAGAUUAAGUCGGCGGUGAAAUUUUGCAGCUCAACUGUAAAAGUGCCUUCGAAACUGGUUUCCUUGAGUGUGGAUGAAGUAGGCGGAAUUUGUGGUGUAGCGGGGAAAUGCAUAGAUAUCACGAGGAACUCCGAUUGCGCAGACAGCUUACUAAACCAUAACUGACGCUCAGGCACGAAGGCGUGGGGAUCAAACAGGAUUAGAUACCCGCGUAGUCCCU